UAUAAGGGAUUUUGAGUUUUUGCUUGCAACGUUUGACCACUCGUCUUAUUUAAAAUUUUUUGAAAUUAUUAAUUAUUUUAUUUGUGACUUACUUUAUUAUCUACAGUACUUUAAGCACAAUUUGAAUAAGACGAGUGGUCAAACGUUGCAAGCAAAAACUUAAAAUCCCUUAUA
rnacentral:pre_miRNA from 1 species